UAACAUCUUUGUUUCCCACAGAUCUGCACAAACAUCACACAGAAAUCAUUUUUAAAUAGUUAUUCGAAUGAAAAUGAGAAUAAUUAUGCAAAAAAUACCAUUCCAUCUCAUAUGGCAAUCACAAUUUCAGUAAUAAUGGCAAUCCAAUAUUUAUUCCAAAUUGUUCACCCCUACACAGUAGUGCAAAAAUGUUUAAUUCAACCAUUAAACUUGACAUUAUUUAUUGCAUAGACAAAUCGGUUACAACCUACAAUAGAAAGGCUCACUCUAAAUGCCUGUUAAUGUGCUGUUGCAGUGUGGAGAAUGGUGCCUGCAAGAUGUCAAUCAUACCACACUCCCCUCCCCUCCCCCAUACGCCAAAAAAAUGGAGAUGGGAUAACACCAUUCAUGUCAUUCACAGUUGAGUGCAUGCAUCUACAGAGGAGAUGGAGCACUCACUCCAGAAAAACUGUGAGAAAGAAAGUUAUGUACAACAUAGAUAUUUAAUGGAUUGAUGAAACCAACACCCACCCAACCAACAUGGACUUCCACCAACCUGCCACAAAAUUUAAACAGAACAAACACAGUCUUCCUUGAUCUAAUCUUCUUUGGUAAAAGACAACAAUUAUCUGCAUACCUGAGUGAGGCUGUGAGGAGACAUAAUAAUGAAUGGAUUAAUACUGAGGACAUCCAAACUAUGAAGGAACACAUGGAAUUAUG